GAGAUCCAGGGGGGGGGCGCGGUCUGGCCCCAGGACCGGGACCCAGGAGGGGUGUACGGUCCAGACAGGUUGACCCCACGGAGUCGACCCACAGGGACAACAAAGCCGAGGAGAAAGCGACUCACAGUGCAGAAGAUUCCUCCAUCACAGACACCUCGAGUGGCACAGAGUCCGACUCCUCUGACGAAUCCAAAGAGACAGAGGAAGAAACAGACGAGGAGGAGGAAGAUGAUGAUGAUGAUGAUGAUGACGAAGAGGAGGGUAGCUUCCACAACCCUUCAGCAGGGCAGCUAACCACUGCUGCUGCCGCCUCUGUCCAAGAGACAAACUCUCCUUAUUAAACACUCUCUCCGUCUCUGGGCAGGCACAUUGCUUUCUCUGGGGCUUGGUGAAACUGUUUGCCUUCAUGAGAGCGCCACCUGGUGGAGACCAGCAUCAAUACAGGAUGGUUUCAUCGACGCACCGUUUCAUUGAUUUUAACCUCUCUCUCUCUCUCUCUCUCUCUCUCUCUCUCUCUCUCUCUCUCUCUCUCUCUCUCUGUCAAUACCCUGUGGUAUUUCUUUGACCAGUUUUUAUUGGUAUUGUUGUUGCCUGAAGGAAGUGUUUAUCGAAAGCCUGGCCUGAUACUUCACUAGCAGCCCACCAGACAAGGCAGGGCCCCUAGAACACUCAUAACAGUGAGGGGCCACUAGAACAUUGAGGGCCCCUAGAACAUUGGGGCCGUAUCACGGGCCCCACUGGCUGACCAAGUGGAAGGCGGGUGAUUGGAUGGGAUGUACUGGUGGAUGGUAGUAUUGACUCAACUCGGAGGUGGUGAGUGACCUUUAGGCACAGUUAGCUUCAGAGCCCUGAAGCCCAGUCCAGUAGGGAAGGUCUUAGUGGGUAAUCAAACCCGAGACUCCGGCCUCUUCCUGCCUUCCUCAUAAAUUUCUUCCAAAAACUGAUUCGUUCUUUAAAUGCUGAAAUGGCCUACAUGCGCCUAGUUAGAACAUGAAGACCCCCAGAGAUUAGGACUAAACCACCUCAGAGAUUAGGACUAAACAACCUCAGAGAAUAGGAUUGAACAACUUGAAAAAUUAGGACUAAACCACUUUAGGGAUUAGGAAUAAACCACCUCAGAGAUUAGGAAUAAAACACGCCCUGGCUAGGAGAAAGUGAUGAACUCUAAUCUAGAUGUCAAAUUUUCAUAGAAUGUGUUUUUAUUCUCUUUGUUAAAGCUAUUUCCAAACAAUGUUGAUUUGCCAUGCAGUUGUUUGCUAGAGUGAUUGAGUGAGUGAGUGUGAUAAUGCUACAAUGAAUGAGGUAAUAAGUGAGCCACUGGCUUUGAGAGCUAAUGACUAAAAGCCAUGGUGUCUUGCAGCUCUUAAUAAGAUGUAAAUUGUCUAGAAUCGAUAUAUCUAAAAAGAUAAAAGAUUGUUGGAGCAUUCAACCCUUUAAACCCCCUUCACCUCCCAGCUCUCUGACUCAGCAGUUUGGUCCAGUUUAGAGAUGGUAGGUUGGUUAGAACAGAGAGUUGAUGCACAAGGUAGGACAUUAGCUUAUGUUAACAAAUGGUUCCUUAUGGGGGAUACGAGGGCUUGGGAAAUAGUGCCCCUAAAAGGGCAGCUGAAAAGCACAGGGUAUCUGUUGGUUAUUAUGUAAUUAGCACAAUUUGUAGUUGGAAAAAAGAAACUGUAAAAUGACACAGAUUUUUGUGACGCAGUUGAAAGCCAAACAUGCGUACUGCUAGGGCUCUUUCCUGACAUCAGGUCUUAUUAAUACAAUGUCCAAAACAGACGCCACUGUUAUGAGGUGGUUUCUGGUCAAAAGUGUCCCGUGUAUCUUGAUAAAAAAGAGUAACUUCAUUAGCUUUGACUGGCCAUCAUAAAGCUGUUAAAUUGAUCGUCUGUAGUAUUUACAGCAAACUCAACUUUUUUGUUGCCCAUAACAGAUGAAUACCAUAACUCAAGCUUAGCAUUUCAUUAUAUGAUCAUUUGUGUUGUAGUUUCUGUCAACAGAUUGAUUCACAUGUAUUGGCGUUAUUCUUUUGAUUUACUUCUGUGAACGUUCUUCCUCUAACUGGGAGGUGAAAUGCACAACGCUUGUUUUUAUUUGCAACUGAUCAUUUUAGGUGUGAAGACCUCACAAACAAAUGGUACAUUUUCAACCCUGAUAUGCAGAACUUUGUGAAAAUAUUUUGCUAGAAUCUGCCUUUUAUUGUAAAGAUUGACUGUUUGUUUCCACAGACAUGUAGAACAUUUCUUAGUUCUGUUUAAGUACGUUUAAAGCAGAUGCACACAUAUAACGCAAGACAAAAUCCCCCCCCCCCACUGUCAGAUAUGUAAUGGCUGUUAUAGGAAUAUCUAAAUGACACGAUCUUUCUUUGCGCAAUUCAAAAUGUCCUUCUGAAACACUGUGAGGAGUUUCCUGUUGCCUUGACCAAAGAGAGAUAACGACAGACACAAAGAAAUCUCAAGCUGAUCUGCCAUGUUUUUCGACUUGAGUUGAUGCGUUUUGUUUUCUAUGUUUGCCUUACGGUCAAUGUGAAGUAGGUUCUCUCUGCAGAACCUGGGUGUUUCCUCCAGCUUCCUCUCAUUAUCAGUGUUUGGUUCUCCUACAGUGGGGCUCCUGUCAUGUUCUUUGUGAAUCAUUUCUAGCCUUGGCUCCGCAGUCCCACAGAGGCCCCUCCAUCGAAGCAGUAGUUGCUUUGAAGUUGGCAAUGCUUCAUAAUUGAUCAACUUACCUUAUAAUCAUUGCAUGAUAUUCACAUGACUUCCAUCAUGUGAGUGAUGUAUGUUAAUAACAUGCCCAUGGGUUUACAAUCUGUACCCACAAACCUAACAGAUAUUCCAGAAGGCCACAUGCCUUAGCCGUCGCUGCUACUACUGCGGUCACGCCAUCUGCACUUAUGAAAACGAAAGCUUAUGGCUCAUCUGCAUUGUGUUGUACAGUAAAAUGCUAUUUGGGGUGCAAGUGCACCUCGUAAACACAGUAAGUAUGCCCUCAGAAAACGGGGAAGGAUUCGAUCUUAUCGUUAUUAAUUAAAAUUGUUAAAAUACAAGUUGGAUUGGGGAAGCUGAAUAUCAACCAUCUUGUCAGCCUCGUGACGUGUACACUGGCCUGUAGAAAAAAAUCGGCCCAAACAACUUAGACAUCUCAAGAUGUGAGAGCUGCUAUUGUGAAACUACUACUUUUUCCACUGAGGACCUAGCCUGGGUCACAUGCAACACAUGACUACAUUUUGACCACUGAUUUAUUUUUUUAUCAUUAUGUAUUCUAACCUUUUAUUACCCCAGUAUUUCACCUACCAGUAUGUCCCUAAAAAUCCUGUUUUAUUCUUGAUUUGAGCAGAGAAGUGAGUGGACAGCAGGCCUAACUAGCGUUUGCAGUUUUGCACCUGUGCUUCUGUUGUGAAUACAGUGUCAUUUUUUCAAUGGAUUGGUUUUUCUGUUGGUUGCUAAUUGUUCCUUCUCAUUUGUACACGGUACUUCAUCAAAUCACCCUUCCCUCGCCAAAGGGAUGGGACAUGUAUGACAUGUAUGGUUCUGAUUUUGGUUCAAAUGUGGUGAUUUAUUGCACUCAUUGUGCCAAUAAAACUGGACUCAAAGGGCUCAGAUCCUGGCUCCAUGUCUUCACUGGUAUCCUGUAGGAAACGUAGCCCUGUAGAUACAAACACAAGAGAAGCUACACAACUCCACAUGACAUGUUUCAGAGGUUUUGUGCCAAGAUUAGAUCGUACACUUCUAAAGGGAGUAAAGAAAAUGGCGACUGCUCAUGUGAUCUUGUGUGAUUUUAACAUUCAAACUUACUUAAAUGUCAGUUCAUAUGGUUUAGGGUAGGGUAUUCAGGAAAUGUAUUUAACGUUGUUUUGCAAUGGAAUUUGACUUUCAAACGGUAAUAAUAUAAGUUUGAAGUAGGAGUCUUAAUUCAAAUGGUCAAAUCUCACGAUGUGAUCCUGAGAGAGCGCUUUAACCCAACGUUUAAAUCUCUCUUGUUCUCAGGCUCGGAGGAGGGCUGCGAUCUGAUUCGCUACCACAAACGACCCAGCUACUGUGCCAACUCCUACCGCCCGGCGAGGGUCAAGGUGGUGGACCUGCGGCCCACCGACCCCCGGAGCAAAGCCCGACGUCUGCAGCGGAUCUCCCUCCGAAGGGGGAAGUGACCUCACAGCAGGGCCCACCUAGGACUGACCUUUAGGGGGGCUUAGCCCCUUAGUACCUCCUACUGCAGGGGAAGUGACCUCACAGCAGGGCCCACCUAGGACUGAACAUUAGGGGUCCUAGCCCCUUAGCACCUCACUAGACAGGGGAAGUGACUUCACAUCAGGGCCCACCUAGGACUGACCUUUAGGGGGGCUUAGCCCCUUAGUACCUCCUACUGCAGGGGAAGUGACCUCACAGCAGGGCCCACCUAGGACUGAACAUUAGGGGUCCUAGCCCCUUAGCACCUCACUAGACAGGGGAAGUGACCUCACAUCAGGGCCCACCUAGGACUGACCUUUAGGGGGGCUUAGCCCCUUAGUACCUCCCUCUGCAGGGGAAGUGACCUCACAGCAGGGCCCACCUAGGACUGACCCUUUGGGGGGCUUAGCCCCUUAGUACCUCCUACCGCAGGGCAAGUGACCUCACCGCAGAGCCCAUCUAGGACUGACCUUUAGGGGGUCUUAGUAGGGGCCCAGAUAAGAUUGACAUUUGAUUACAUCUAGGUGGUUACAAACUAUUUUAGAAAAGUCUAAAUGAAUGGAGAUUAGAAACAGUCCAACACAGAGUCUGGUGUCGCCCCUGCAGCUCUGUUGUAGACCACCGUAGAAAGACAGGUGUCGAUCCGGACAUUGAUGAUAGAAAGAAUCAAUGGCAAUUUGUGUUUUAUGUCGUGUGUAAAUGUCAAUAUUGUCAUUUAGAUUAUAAUUUUCAGUUUGUAAAGUAAAUGUACAUUUCUGGUCGUAUUUAGUGCCUUAACACUGUAUUUAAUCCAUUGUGUCUGCCCGUUAAAAAGAAUGUUUAAAGUAAACUGUUCUCAUUCUGAUCUAUGUGUUAUCAUUGAGUUUGGUCCUCUCUUGAAAGUGUGGUAGAAAAGGUAGUGUAAGGCUGUUCACAUUUGUGGUUUAGUUCUUAUGUAGUGCUCAAAUGAUCAGUUAAUUGAUUAAACGUUAUGCAGGACUGUCAAAUUAUACAUUUACUAUCUUGCACCAAAAGGUCUAUAAAAAGAUAGGUUAGGCAAUUU